CACUGUCUUGAUCAAAAGUGUGUGAAGCUUUUGAGAAUUGUGGUUGAACUCCUUUAAUGAAGCUCUUGUUGGCACCAUAAACUGAUUUUGCUUCACACUGUCUUGAUCAAGAGUGUGUGAAGCUUUUGAGAAUUGUGGUUGCCCUCCAUUGAUGAAGCUCUUGUUGGCACCAUAAAUUAGUUUUGCUUCACACUGUCUUGAUCAAGAGUGUGUAAAGCUUUUGAGAAUUGUGGUUGCCCUCUAUUGAUGAAGCUCUUGUUGGCACCAUAAAUUGGUUUUACUUCUCACUGUCUUGAUCAAGAGUGUGUGAAGCUUUUGAGAAUUGUGGUUG
rnacentral:lncRNA from 1 species